AACAGAACAGAUGUGUAUACAUCAGGACAUUCAGUACCAUGAAAAACAAAUAGAAGAUUUAUGUACAUAUCACAACUGAGAUUCUCCCAGUCCACGUCAAACAUUCAAGCUAAUAAAUAUAUUCUUUAUCAAUUUCUCAGUAUCACAAUGGGUUAAUAAUCACUCAAUGUAUGCUACAUGCCUUUCUCUUGCUUCACGUGAACUGAAUUUCUCUGAAACACUCAGUUCAUAACGAUCUCCAACAUUAAAAGUGAGAGGUUUCAGAUCUCAUCCAAACCACUUCAUUAGUAAUUCAAUGCAUCAUUUUUCUCUUUACUUUGACACAUUAACAAUAUGAUGACCCGCAGGAGCUGAAAGUACCGAAACCCUUAUAGCUAGGGAAGGCUAAUUUGGCAGCAGCAUGGCCUGCAAGUUACGUGAGGCAUGGCGGGAUACCCCGUCCGGCUCUGUGACAAAGGCGACCUAUAAGCCAGGAUGAUGGGAGUAGUAGUAGGCAAACAUCCUCUCUCUACUUGCGCCGCUGUCCAAGCCAAGACAUAAUUAAACCUAGUAAGAUCUGAAACAUGAAAUGAAGUGACAAACAAUGCAACUACCUACCAAGGAACUGAAAUUUGGAUGGCACGCGAUCAAAAAUUGUUCGAAUAUCUUAUCAAACAAUACAAUGCAAUUCAAUUCCGAGACCACACAAUCAAAACAUACCUUAGGAGAGCAGGAGAGAGUGAGGCCAUAAGGCAGAGAAAGCAUGUAAUAGAUAAAAGGGGCACACAACAACCCAACAAUAAUGAUGAGAGAAUAAUCCCACACUAAUAUAUAAAUGUGGCAAAUGAUUUUGAAUUAUUCUACGCAUAAGAGGACAACAAAAGAAAAUUAAAAAUAGAAUUGUCUAUAAGAUUAGGAGCAGUUAAAUGAUGCGGCUUGUGAUAGGACCUUUAACCUAGCAUAUUGGGAAAUAUGCAGCAUAGCUAUAAUGUCAAUCAUCAAUUUUUUUUGGUCACAUAACUGCACAUCCUCAACGGAGUCUUGGCCUUCACAACCUAGUGUAGGCUUACACAGCCAUGAUUAUGAGCACUUCCUCGGUAUUCAACUUGCCACAGGAAAACUGAAGGCGUGUUUGAAUCUUCAGUGAUAGACAGGAAGUACAUCAUGGCGCACGGUACCAAAUGACCAGAAAGCAAAAACCAAAUCAGAAAAAUACAAACCUAGAUGCCUAAGUAAACAGAGGAUGCAAUUUCUUAUAAUUCUAAAUUGUAGUAUGGAGAUCGCUGUAUGGCCCAUGCACCAAGAUUCUAAGAAAAGUUGGCAUAACAAUCAAGCAUUGCAAAUACAUGGUAUUUUCUAUCAGGGGUGCAGAUCAAACAGUGGUUCAUAACAACACAUCUAUACAACAGAAGGCACCACAAGCAAGCCAAAUCAGCUAUGAGAAUAGUAGAUAGGAAAGCAACAUGGGAAUAGUAGCUGAGUAUAUUGGCAUACCUUUAAUUCUCAAAGAGGUCAUUGGUUUGUAACAACGGUUCGAGAAGAAAGCUGCAAUAGAAAAAAUAAAGAUAUUCUUUCAAAGAACGCCCAAAGGUUUGAGCAGGAUAUGGUAAUAAAUAUACAUGAUAUGUAAACUUCAAAACUAUAUAGCGAAUGAGCAUACUGCAGAGAGAUAAAUGCAGAUUUGGAAGCAACAUAUUCAUAGAUCGGCAAAGUCUAAUUGUAGAAGCAUAUCAUUGCGAGACGGAUACACCUACUGAACUUCUCUCUGGCCUGCACAUGUAGUCUAAUUGUAGCAGCAGAGGAGCAACAUGUGGCACUUGAAUUUAUUGACUGUAAGUCGCACCACUGUAAAAUACAAAGCAUGGAUCUUUUGCUGUUGUAACCAACUUUGUUUUCAUCAACGAAUUUUGUAAGAGACAGCAAAACAAAACAGCCUAGGAUCUUACUUCAGAGGUACCUAACCCUACAAUUAAACACAUUUUUACCUCCUGGUAUGAUGGCUUAAUGAGAUCAGGAUGAUUUCAUUUAAAUAAUAGGUCAAUGAGUGCUCACAUAACCAAGAUUGGUCACUGGGAAUGUCUCGUGCAUAAUUUGAGCAUAUAUAGUUUACUGAUGCAAUUUUUUUGUCCAAGAAGAAAAAGCUUAACCAUUGCAUAUGUUCUCUGAACUUUAUGCCCAUUUUUCAUAAGAAUAUAACAAAACUAACCACUGCUCAUAUUUUGAUGGCGGGUGGUUUACUCUCAGAUUUUCUGAACAAAAUCACAUCUUCUGCAGCUAGCUUCUCCAGGUCCAGAAGGACAGUUGGAAGCAACAAAUAAACUACAAAGAAGUGGGCGUACCUUCGGAGGAG
rnacentral:lncRNA from 1 species